rnacentral:rRNA from 1 species
UGAAACCGUUUAGGGGUAAACCUGAGAAACCCGAAAGGUCGAAGGGAGAAAUUCAUUCGCGUUUCGCGACAGGCAUCGGACGGAAUUGAGCGACGGGAAACGCGCGUUUACGCGUUGCGUAUCUCGCGUCGUCCGUUCGACGAUCCGGUUACGAACGCGUGCACUUUUCUCCUGGUAGGACGUCGCGAUCCGUCGAGUGUCGGUCUACGGUUUCGAGUGGAGCCCGUCGGCGGUUCGUCUUCGCGGGCGUUCGCGACCGACGGACCUCGAUUUUCCCGGCCGACUCGCUCGACGGUACGAUAACGAACGGUUCGGGGUCGCUCUUUUACGAGAGCGUUCGAUUCGUGGCAAGCGCGCCAGAUGCCUGUCGGCGAUCGGACUUCGUGCCGGUUCCGACCUCUGGCGACUGUUGGCCGCGUUAUUCUCGAACGGACCCGUUCUCUUUCACGAGAGAAAAACCGAUCGGCGACGCUAUAGCUUUGGGUAAUUUCAGGACCCGUCUUGAAACACGGACCAAGGAGUCUAGCAUGUACGCGAGUCAUUGGGAAUCGAUAAACCUAAAGGCGCAAUGAAAGUAAAGGUUUUCCUCGCGAAGACCUAGGGAAGACGAGCGUGAUCGCCCUUAAAAGCAUCCGCUCCGCAUUCCCGGGGCGUCUCGUUCUCAUCGCGAGAAGAGGCGCACCAAGAGCGUACACGCUGGGACCCGAAAGAUGGUGAACUAUGCCUGGUCAGGACGAA